UUACGGCCAUAUCACGUAGAAACAUUGGUUUCCCAUACGAUAACCGAAGUUAAGCAACGUCGACCCUGAUUUCUACCUAGAUGGGUGACUGCUUGGGAAUACCAGGUGCUGUAAG